UUUACUGGUGCAGAUUGUUACAAGUGCAGCAUGUGGGCUCUUGUUCAUCACUGGAAAAAACGCAUAGCUAAGGGUGGUGACUAUGUUGAAAAACUGUGCUUUGUAGCUGAGAAUGUGUGCUAUUAAAUAGCAUUAUUAUGUUCUUUGUAUCUGUUCCCAUGGAAAUAAAUAGGAGGCAUUACUUUCAGAGCGGCCUAUGCAUUUUAUACAUAGCAGAAAGUGAAGCUGGAAGAAUGUUUUAGAGGUCAUUUAGUUUUUCCACUGUCCUCAAGACAAAAUCAACUAUCAUCGAAUGAUUCUGAUAGGUAUUUGUCUUACCUGCAGUUUAAACUCAUUAGUCAUGCUCCUGUAGUCAGCUGGCACGCUUUCCAGCAACCUUAAAUACUUGUGGUGUUGCUGUUUCUCCCAUUGGUAGUCUCUGUACUUAAGAGGCUUUCCUAGCAGGCUUUUGGAUGUUCAAACUAUUCUUAAAGUAUGAGGACAAGUGGCAGUUGGGCGAUGUUUCACAGUUUUUCACUAAGAAGAAAAGUAGCAACAUUAAAAUUUGUCACUUUCUGUUUUCAGAUUAUGGUUCCAGGUGUAUUUAUGCAUGUGUUGUUGUGAGAAUGAUGCAUAAUUAGAUUUUCUGUAUUACUAUUUUUAUGGAUAUUGAAAUGAGUAUCUUUAUGGAUAUCUCUGCUUCAGUAUCUUUAAAAGAAGUCUGUGUUUGGCAACAAAAGUUUAAAACUAGACUCCAGUGAGAGGAACAGCAAAAUUUUUUUUUUCUUUCUUGUUUUGGUGUCCUGUCAGAUCGUUAGAGUUCUGCUGGUAAACAGAUCUUUCCAGGAGUGAACUAUCAAGUCUCCCCCGUUCCCUCGGCCAACAGAAAGCCUCUUGUGACAUUCUCAUCCCGAAAUCUGAUAGCUUGAAGCAAUUCUUGAUUUAUUUCCAGAACUCCUAGAACAACACACUCCCACACUUCAAAUCCAUUCCUGUAUCAGGCACAUAAACAUAUGUUGUGAUUGUUGAUGUUGAUGAGCAAGAAUUUUUGUGUUUCACAGGCUAUUUAUGGGCUCAGUGUAAAAUGAUUUUCAUACAGCUGAAGUUGUGUGCAAGAAUAAAACAAUUUGUUUGCAAUUGUACUUUCUGUAUUGGCACAAAUUAUGAUUAACACAGUAACAAUUGUGUUAUUCAGUAUUGUGUGAGCUCUUUUAAGAUUUCCCAAAAAUUUCCUACAGAUUUGGAAAGCAGUGAUAGCAUCCUUGCCAAUAUAUAUCUUAUCUCCUCUUCAGAACCUUCUCCAGUCUCUCAGUGUACUGGAAGACACCUGAAAAACAGAAGGAAAUAGUUUUGUGGAUGGACUAAGUGCCGUUCCUUUACAGUCUCAGACAGUGGGCACAAGUCAGUCCUCUCUUUUCCAUCAGCCCGAGCAGCAGCUGUGUCAUGCCUGGUAGUGCAGCUGCUGUCCUCAAGGAUGACCUGAAGACAGUCUUAAUGGCCUCUGUUGAUCAGUUUUUGUCUUGCCAGUCCAAUGAUUUUUGGUCAGGACUGCUGUUUGUCUUGCCUUAUGCUACUCAGAAUAACUGAUUUGACAUCUGUGCUGCAAGUGUGUCGGGUUUUAACCCAAGAGCAGCUCAGCGCCACACAACCGUUUGCUUACCCCCCACCCACUCCACCUCCCAAGGGGACAGGAGAGAGAACUGGGAAAAAAAGUAAGAAUUGGGAAAAAAAGUAGAACUUGUACAUUGAGAUAAAAAAUACUAAUACCAAAAAGGAAGAGAGAAAUAACAGAAAUGAUAAAAAGAUAUAUACAUAUAUGUCUCUCUACAAAACAAGUGAUGCACAAUGUAAUUCCUCACCACCCGUCAACCAAAGCCCAACCUGUCCUUGAGCAGCAGCAGCUCCCCCCUGGCCAGCUCCCCGCAGUUUUAUGGUUUUUGCACGAUGCCACAUAGUAUGGAAUAUGUCUUUGUCCAGUUUGAGUCAAUUGUCUUGGUUCAGUCCAGCUCCCUGUGCCCCCCCAGCUACUCACUGGCCAGGCAGUGUAAGAAGCUGAAAUGUCCUCAGCUCUGUGCAGCACUGCUUAGCAACAACUAAAACAUUGAUCUGUUAUCAACAUUGUUUUUCUCCUAAAGCCAAAGUAGCAGACAUUAUGAAGAAAAUCAACUUUGUCCCAGCUGGAACCAGGGCAAUGUGGAAGUAAAUGGAGUUAAAGGUUGUAACGUAUAUUUUCCUUAAAUGUUUACCAUCUCUCCCAAAUGUGAUUUCUAGUGAUCUUUUCCUUCUUUCACAAGCAGGACUGAAUGUUGUGGGCAAUUAUGUUACAUCACCCAGGGAGUGAAGUUUUGUUAUUAUUCUUACGAAACUUAGGUUUUUAAUCUAACAGGCAGUUUGUUCAUGUUGCAGUGAUUUCUAGUUUUGUGUCGGCAUCUUCUGUAGUAAUAAAUGCUUCAUGUUGUAUCUUGUUGGCGAAGAUGAAACUUAGUACUGUGAUCUUACACACUGGGCCCAAACCAUGUAAACAACAUGGUACAUAGGAACAGUAAUUCUUGCAAGAAAUCCUCUAGCCUAGAAUACGGAGAAAACUGUCUGGACUAUGUCCUUUUAAAAUAUAUAGACUGUACUUUCUGAGACACACAAAUCAUUGGACUGUUUUUAGAACAUCAUUAGACACAUGUGCCAGUGCAAACACCUCUCUGGUUUAGAGAUAAGGAUAUGGUCUCGGACCAUGUCAAAAGCCUUGCACAAGUCCAGGUAGAUGACAUCAGCUGUCCUUCCUUUGUUCAUUGAUGUCAUCAGUCUAUAAUAGAAGGCUACCAGAUUGAUCAGGCACGAUCUGCCCUUGGUGAAGCCAUACUGGCUGUCUUGGAUUACCUCCUCAUCUCACAUAUGCCUUAACGUCUCUUUGAGGAGGAUCUAUUCCAUGGAGAUGGGCAAUACCACAUGAAGAACAUUCAGGAACUGGCAAAAAUUUCUAGGUGCUGCUUGAUCAUGAGAAUAGAGACAUUUUUAGAGAUGCUGUAGAGACUGCCUAGUAACAAACUUGUACCUUUUAUAAUGGAUCAUUUCAGCCAUUUUGUGGCAGGUUGUGACAAGGUCUGCAGUCACUGCAAAAUCCACUGAAUCCCACAGCAGAUGUGUUACAAACAGGAAAAGAUCUUUCUGAAAUCUACAGUUACCUUGAUAUAAGGACAUCAAGCAUCCCAUCAGGGGUGUGAAAAGACUCCUCAGUCCAGGUUACCUGUGGUUUUGUUGGAGAUGUGCCACUGCCAGAACUGGGAUUUUGGGAAAGAUUUCCAGUCAUGGAGACAUUGAACAAUGAGACAAUGGUGAUGUUCCGACCCAUGACAAGUCAGAGACAUUUUCUGUGAGAUAGUUGAAUCACUAUGGAACUACUCAUCUGGGGGGUUCAGUGACACAUCCAAACCUCUUACUGAAGUGAUGUUGUUAUUUCAGCUUCUGUCACUGUCCUGAACUUGAACUUGCAAAUACGUGGUGUUAUUUCAGCUUCUGUCACUGUCCUGAACUUGAACUUGCAAAUACGUGGUGUUAUUUCAGCUUCUGUCACUGUCCUGAACUUGAACUUGCAAGUACAGGGUUGUCAGGGUCCUUAUGCUUAAGAUGUGUCUCUGCAUUCUGACAUUAUUUGGCAGUAAGUAAUGUCUCUUUUUUUCCUCCAAGAGUGAAGAGGACCAGUUGUUUGGCCUAGGUGGCCAGUAAAGUAGCACUCUUGUGCUGAAGGCAUUGUUUUUUUGGUCAUGAAGUCAUGGUAAAGUCCCCUGAAGAAGAAAGGAAGAGCCAAGCUGGGAGGAAGCAGCAAGGCAAAGUGGGUGAUGUAACUACUAGAAAUGAUUUAGUGAGGAUCACAGCGUUUCCCAGCUUCAUAACUUACAUACUUGAGCUACUGAGUGGCAGCGAAAAACAGACUUGGCGACACCACUGUUGUCAAUUUCUUUAAGACAUGAAGCUCCAAUAUGUCUGUGAAGUGAAAUACGAAAAGAAGAAAACAAGGACAGGAUGCUUUCUGCUUGAUUGACCGACAUCCACACAGCUUGAAAAUAAAGGAAACUCAGCAAAUCCACUUCCUAUUUGAGUCAAACCAUCGUGCUAAAAAUAAAACCAGAGAUAACAGCAACUAUGCUGUAAAAGCAGAAGUAUAGUCUGGAGUGCUAUUUUCUGCUGAAGUACACCAAGUCUUCUCCACUACCUCUUAUAGCUCUGCAUUCAUGAAAACCAUGUUAACCAUGUCUGACAAUUUAGAAAACAAACAACUGUCCCAGCUCAUAGGAAGAAGAAAAUAGUGCUUAACUUUGGGAUAGUAAGAAUUGUUGAAAAAAGAAAGCAAAACAGUGUUAUCCCUACUUUUCCUCCUGGUUUGGAAGAAUGCCAAAUUUGUGUGCUAUGGGAACUUAUAGAAGCUUUAAAUUAUGAAGACUAACGAUAUGUUUUAGCUAUAUACGUGAUUGGGAUUCCACACACUGAUAUAAUGCAUAAGAUUUAUAUUCUAAGUAUAUUUAAUCAUUAUAUCUGGAAGUCUGGGGGGCACUGUUAUGAAAUGAGUAAAGACAAGAUUUUUAAGAGCGUACUAUCUUACUGAAGCUACGCUGUGUGGGGCAGUAGGCACUUUGUUUUUAGUUGUGUUAAAUAUUUGACACUGAAGUGGCUUGCUGUUAAGGGGGCUGGCUGAGAAUAGUGUUGUACUUCGCUAUUGUCAUAUAAGAUCAAGAAAAAGAAAAACUGCUCCUGUAUUUUCUGUGGCUCAUUCUCAAGUACUAUCUAGGUGACAUUAUUUUAAGGAAUGUUCUCAGCAGCCAAAUUACUACAUUUCAGAAGCAAAUCUGACCUCCCAGUUUUAUUUUCUUUUAAAUAUUUUUUUUUAAAAUAUUAUUUUUUCUUAAAAUAUUAUUUUAUUCAACUAAUUUAUCCAGAUCAUAUAUGAUAUCAGUUCUGAAUAGACUGAAGUCACUGUUGUUUAGAAAUCCCUCACAUGGGUUUCUGAGCCUUUUAAUUCUGUGGUAAGAGAGGCAAUGGGUAGUGAAGCUAUGUGGUAGCUGUAUGGAUAGAGAACUGUUAUGCAGGUAUACAGUAUAAGCUCAAACAACAUUAGUGGAGAAAGUCCAAGGAAGGACCCUGGAAAUAAGUCGUGGUUUCAGAUCUUUCUGGGUUGCAACACAGGCUGAAGCUGCUUCAAGAUUGUGUGCUGGAGGAGAGGGUGUGGAAAGUUGUGCAGUCCUCAGGGAGCUCAUGAUUUGGCAGGUGAAUUCCCCCUUUACAGACAUGCUCAUAGCCUGUAGCUCCUGGCAUCUUGCCUGUUUUUCUGGUUACAAAAAGGAGGGGUGAAUUUUUAAGUAUAAAAGUACCUCUGUCUAAGCUCACUUUAGAUAGUUAUUAAGCAGCUGCCACACUUUUUAGCUGGCCUUAAGCCUCAAACCAUGUGACAGACAAACCUUUUUUUCUUCUGAAAACAACCAGUAUAUAUAUUUUUGUUUUUGCGUUUUUAAAGUUUAUUUAUUUAAUAUAAACACUUGCACUACAUAGGAGAUAUUGUUCAGAUACAAGUUAGAGUUUCUUAAAGAGGAGGAGAAAUAUUUAGUGAAAAAUCUAUUUGCCUUUCUCUUUUCAUUUUCUACAUUACAUCUUUCUAAGCUUGUCCAUGCUGAUUAUAGUAUUUCCUCUUUACUUCUUGUAAUGCUUUUAUCUAAUACACACACUCACGUAAACCUUGCUGCAAAUAUAUCUGUCAUGUAGAAUUAAGGAGUUUCCUCUGUCUCUGACAGCUGCUGGAAAACAGUGUUCCUCAAGAGAGGAAUGAAAAAAGGGUAAAGAAAAGGGAUUGUGACCUGACCACAUAUUAAUAAAGAAUCACAGACUAGCUAUAACAAUACAAAAACUCCAGCAGUUACUCCACAUCCACCUCUUUGGGUACUCUUACAUUCAUCCUUCAAUUCAGUUCAUGGAGGCAAAUGUUUCAGGUCAGCUGCUGGAGAUAUACAGACAGAGAAACCUCUCUCUAUAGACUACUGCAUCUAGUAAUUAGAAGAGCAAAGUUCCUUAGGUCUGCAUGAAGCUUAAAAGACUGCAGGCAUCAUCUCAUAGAUGCCUCAAAGCAUCUGAACAUUUGCUUAAAGCGUGAUGUAAAAUAUUCAGUCAGUCGUUUGGAAACAUUAAAUACUUACUAACUGAAUCGUAGGCUAUAAAAGUUGCAACUUAAAUGAGUAGUAAUAUAAAUGAGUUCUGAACAUGGAAGAUAAGUGGUGCAACUUUGAGGGAAAUGACAGUGAAACGACUAUAAUUGUAUCUCAUCUUCCUAGUAACACAGAGAAAUACUGUAUUUUUGUAGACCUGUAGAGAUUAGAGAGAAAUCCAAGGUCUGACUGAUUUAGUGUCGCAUCUGGAAAUAAACUGAAAAGAGUAUAACUAUUGUUAGGACAGUUCAGUGGGAAAAAAAUAAAAGGAUAUAGAUGAUAUAUAGACAUGUUUCAGACUCUCCUUAUGCCAUUGGAAGAAGUCUUUUGGACUCAGUUGGGAACACAGAAACACCAAGUGAAGAAGAAUAGAAGGAUCCUUGUGGUUAUUACAGCCUAACCCAAUGAUCUGAUAAUGAGAUCUCUUCUACGAACAACUGACUCUGGUUUGUUUUGCUUUGUUUCUGCAGUAGACAUAUCUCCUGCAGAAAAAAAACAAAAUCAAAUCUAUUG